rnacentral:rRNA from 1 species
AACGAACGCUGGCGGCAGGCCUAACACAUGCAAGUCGAACGCCCCGCAAGGGGAGUGGCGCACGGGUGAGUAACGCGUGGGAAUAUGCCCUUCGGUUCGGAAUAACACAGGGAAACUUGUGCUAAUACCGGAUACGAUCUACGGAUGAAAGAUUUAUCGCCGAGGGAGUAGCCCGCGUAGGAUUAGCUAGUUGGUGAGGUAAUGGCUCACCAAGGCGACGACCCUUAGCUGGUCUGAGAGGAUGAUCAGCCACACUGGGACUGAGACACGGCCCAGACUCCUACGGGAGGCAGCAGUGGGGAAUAUUGGACAAUGGGCGAAAGCCUGAUCCAGCAAUGCCGCGUGAGUGAUGAAGGCCUUAGGGUUGUAAAGCUCUUUUACCCGGGAUGAAAUGACAGUACCGGGAGAAUAAGCUCCGGCUAACUCCGUGCCAGCAGCCGCCGUAA